AGUCAAGCGGGAAAGAGCGCACGGUGGAUGCCUUGGCAUCAAGGGGCGAUGAAGGACGCGGCAAGACUGCGAUAUUCCUCGGCUAGCUGUCUAGCAAGCUUAACCGGGGGUUUCCGAAUGGGGCAACCCGGCCAGGUAAAACCUGGUCACUCUCAGCUCAACACAUAGGCUGAGUAGAGGCAACCAGGGGAAGUGAAACAUCUCAGUACCCUGAGGAAAAUAUAAGAUUCUCUUAGUAGCGGUGAGCGAAAAGGGAAAAGCCCAAACCUUAUAAGCUAAGUGGUUUAACGGCCUAAGCUUAUAAGGGGUUGUAAGACAGGUGACGUCCGGCGUUAAACGGGCAAAGGAGUUACAAACCGAACUCUAGUUGAAGGUCUCUGGAAAGAGCCACCAUAGACGGUGAUAGUCCGGUAAACGAAAGAGCUAGGCUCCUUAAUUUGUUCUUAAGUACCACGGGACACGAGAAAUCCUGUGGGAAGCUACCAUGACCACAUGGUAAGGCUAAAUAC
rnacentral:rRNA from 1 species